UACGGGGGGGGUAAGCGUUGUUCGGAAUUACUGGGCGUAAAGGGCGCGUAGGCGGCCUUCUAAGUCGAACGUGAAAUCCCCGGGCUCAACCCGGGAACUGCGUCCGAGACUGGGAGGCUUGAAUCCGGGAGAGGGAUGCGGAAUUCCAGGUGUAGCGGUGAAAUGCGUAGAUAUCUGGAGGAACACCGGUGGCGAAGGCGGCAUCCUGGACCGGCAUUGACGCUGAGGCGCGAAAGCCAGGGGAGCAAACGGG
rnacentral:rRNA from 1 species